GAUGAACGCUGGCGGCGUGCCUAAUACAUGCAAGUCGAGCGAACAGACGAGGAGCUUGCUCCUCUGACGUUAGCGGCGGACGGGUGAGUAACACGUGGAUAACCUACCUAUAAGACUGGGAUAACUUCGGGAAACCGGAGCUAAUACCGGAUAAUAUAUUGAACCGCAUGGUUCAAUAGUGAAAGACGGUUUUGCUGUCACUUAUAGAUGGAUCCGCGCCGCAUUAGCUAGUUGGUAAGGUAACGGCUUACCAAGGCAACGAUGCGUAGCCGACCUGAGAGGGUGAUCGGCCACACUGGAGCGGAGACACGGUCCAGACUCCUACGGGAGGAAGCAGUAGGGAAUCUUCCGCAAUGGGGGAAAGCCUGACGGAGCAACGCCGCGUGAGUGAUGAAGGUCUUCGGAUCGUAAAACUCUGUUAUUAGGGAAGAACAAAUGUGUAAGUAACUAUGCACGUCUUGACGGUACCUAAUCAGAAAGCCACGGCUAACUACGUG
rnacentral:rRNA from 1 species